rnacentral:lncRNA from 1 species
UGUUGAUAACUCCUUAUAUGUCUGGGAAGAGAAGCGGACUCUAACUGGGACAUGUAGCUUUUACAUUUCACCUCUCCUUUAGCACAGAAAUUCUUGCAAAACUGUUUCUUGUCAUUUAGAAAUUUUAGUAGGUAUAGGGGCUUAAAGGAAAGGAAAUAGAGAAAAGCUGUUCUUCAUUAAUAGGAGAAGACCUCGGGCUGCUGAAUAAAGGAGAGCAGGUUGGAAGACAGGCAAGUGAGAGACAGGAGUUUGAGAGCAGUGAAUUAGCAGAAGACUUGGAACUGAAAGAAAGGGAAAGUGAAAGUGCUGGAAAUAAAGUUAUGUGUGGGUCAUUCCCAACAAUUAAUACUACUGAGUCCUAAUGAAGAGGAUUAUAAAAUGUUCCCUUACUUGUGACCACUUCAAAUCAGAAGGUAUGUCUGAUUUCCUCACCCAUUAAGCAGGCAUAAUAAUCAUGCUUUAGUUUAGUAUACAUGAGAUUUAGAACAGUGCUUG